rnacentral:sRNA from 1 species
GUUGUCAAAAUAUUUUUAAAAUGAUAACUCUUAAGUUAUACAGAAUCACAUUGAAUAGAAGAUUAUGAACGCAUUUGUCCAAGUUAUUAGCCUAAUUAUACUAAGCGUGGUGGUGAUUAUUAUCCCACCGUGCGGGGCUGCACUUGGACGAAGAACGGCUUAAAGAUUAGCCAGAUCUCACAAGAACCCCGCACCGAAAGGCGCGGGUUUUUUUUUGCGUAAAUAUCGAAAAA